rnacentral:rRNA from 1 species
GUGCCAGCAGCCGCGGUAAUACCGGCAGCCCAAGUGAUGGCCGAUAUUAUUGGGCCUAAAGCGUCCGUAGCUGGCCGGACAAGUCCGUUGGGAAAUCUGCUCGCUCAACGAGCAGGCGUCCAGCGGAAACUGUUCGGCUUGCGACCGGAAGACCUGAGGGGUACGUCCGGGGUAGGAGUGAAAUCCUGUAAUCCUGGACGGACCACCGGUGGCGAAAGCGCCUCAGGAGAACGGAUCCGACAGUGAGCGACGAAAGCUAGGGUCUCGAACAGGAUUAGAAACCCCGGUAGUCC